rnacentral:sRNA from 1 species
CUAUUGAAGGGCUCACUGUAUACCGAUUACUGAUUAGGACACUUUACAAGCUCUUAUAGUAUUAAUUUUUAUAGCAACCAUAUGAAGCAGGUACACUAUUGGCCUCAUUUUGCAAAUGAGACAAACGCAUAGAGGUUAAAUGCCCAAAGCCACAUGGCUACUAAGUGGCUGAGCCUAGAUUUCACCCGAGUGCCCACAUGUCCAGCUACUCUGCUCUGUUGCCUGCAGGAUCACAGUGCAGUGUUGCUCACUGCAGCCGUGCAUGAGCAAGGCAGCUGGUGUGAACAAAGGGGAAAUGUAACCUAAUUCUUCUAAUUCUAUGAUUUGAUGCACAAAGGGCUCCAUAAUCGUGGGAAUUGAUUACGACUGCCGGGAGAGGAUGGUGUACUGGACAGAUGUUGCUGGACGGACAAUCAGCCGUGCCAGUCUGGAACUGGGAGCAGAGCCUGAGACGAUCGUGAAUUCAGGUCUGAUAAGCCCUGAAGGACUUGCCAUAGACCACAUCCGCAGAACAAUGUACUGGACGGACAGCGUCCUGGAUAAGAUAGAGAGCGCCCUGCUGGAUGGCUCUGAGCGCAAGGUCCUCUUCUACACAGAUCUGGUGAAUCCCCGUGCCAUCGCUGUGGAUCCAAUCCGAGGCAACUUGUACUGGACAGACUGGAAUAGAGAAGCUCCUAAAAUUGAAACGUCAUCUUUAGAUGGAGAAAACAGAAGAAUUCUGAUCAAUACAGACAUUGGAUUGCCCAAUGGCUUAACCUUUGACCCUUUCUCUAAACUGCUCUGCUGGGCAGAUGCAG